GAUGAACGCUGGCGGCGUGCCUAAUACAUGCAAGUCGAGCGAACGGACGAGAAGCUUGCUUCUCUGAUGUUAGCGGCGGACGGGUGAGUAACACGUGGAUAACCCACCUAUAAGACUGGGAUAACUUCGGGAAACCGGAGCUAAUACCGGAUAAUAUUUUGAACCGCAUGGUUCAAAAGUGAAAGACGGUCUUGCUGUCACUUAUAGAUGGAUCCGCGCUGCAUUAGCGAGUUGGUAAGGUAACGGCUUACCAAGGCAACGAUGCAUAGCCGACCUGAGCGGGUGAUCGGCCACACUGGAACUGAGACACGGUCCAGACUCCUACGGGAGGCAGCAGUAGGGAAUCUUCCGCAAUGGGCGAAAGCCUGACGGAGCAACGGCGCGUGAGUGAUGAAGGUCUUCGGAUCGUAAAACUCUGUUAUUAGGGAAGAACAUAUGUGUAAGUAACUGUGCACAUCUUGACGGUACCUAAUCAGAAAGCCACGGCUAAGUACGUG
rnacentral:rRNA from 1 species